AUGAAUGAACACAAGCUUUCAAUCCUCAACUGGAACGUCCGUGGUCUGAAUUGUCCAGAUCGUCGCGCUACUGUACAUGAAACGAUCUCAUCCACGCCAUGUGACCUUGUUUGUCUACAAGAGACUAAGCUUGAUGUUGUUGAUCCAUUUGUCGCCGCUUUCCUGGGAGGUCAGAGACUCAAAAACUUUGUGGAACUCCCUGCAAAUGGCACAAAGGGAGGAAUCCUUUUGCUUUGGGAUGAAAAGUCCGUCAAGGUGGACAAUGUAAUCUCCGGUGCCUUCUUCUUGUCUGCCAACGUGACCUUGCUUGACUCAGAUACUUUGUUCAAGCUCACCACUGUGUAG
rnacentral:rRNA from 1 species